rnacentral:lncRNA from 1 species
UUGAGAUGAACUAGGAUUCGCUGUUUGGCUCAAGACAUGACUGACUGGAUCUCAUCGAUCAGAUAUAUCAUUGUUUCCUUUUUUAUGUUCACAUAGAUUUAGGCCGAAUUCGAUCGCACACUCCGCCCGAAAAAUAAAGCCAGACUUUCCCUCAGCAUGCUCUAAAACCUCUAACCAGCUUUUAAGACAGUCCUGGUUUGCAUACCAGCCUCUAUGGGUUCUCAUAAAUUUUUUUCCUCAAACAAAUCCUCUCAAAAGCACGCUACGCCGGGGGUAAGCCCGGAGAGCUGGGCCCGAG